rnacentral:rRNA from 1 species
GACGAACGCGGGCGGCGUGCUUAACACAUGCAAGUCGAACGGAGAGGCCCUGCUUUUGUGGGGUGCUCGAGUGGCGAACGGGUGAGUAACACGUGAGUAACCUGCCCUUGACUUUGGGAUAACUUCAGGAAACUGGGGCUAAUACCGGAUAGGAGCUCCUGCUGCAUGGUGGGGGUUGGAAAGUUUCGGCGGUUGGGGAUGGACUCGCGGCUUAUCAGCUUGUUGGUGGGGUAGUGGCUUACCAAGGCUUUGACGGGUAGCCGGCCUGAGAGGGUGACCGGCCACAUUGGGACUGAGAUACGGCCCAGACUCCUACGGGAGGCAGCAGUGGGGAAUAUUGCACAAUGGGCGGAAGCCUGAUGCAGCAACGCCGCGUGCGGGAUGACGGCCUUCGGGUUGUAAACCGCUUUCGCCUGUGACGAAGCGUGAGUGACGGUAAUGGGUAAAGAAGCACCGGCUAACUACGUG